rnacentral:rRNA from 1 species
AGGACGAACGCUGGCGGCGUGCUUAACACAUGCAAGUGGAGCGACGAACCAGGGCUUGCCCUGGGGCAAAGCCGCGAACGGGUGAGUAACACGUGGGUAACCUGCCCCGAUAAUUGGGACAACCCGAGGAAACUCGGGCUAAUACCAAAUGUGCUUUCCGGCCUCAAGGCCGGUUUGGAAAGGAAGCUUCGGCCUCCGUAUCGGGAUGGGCCCGCGGCCCAUUAGCUUGUUGGUGAGGUAACGGCUCACCAAGGCAACGAUGGGUAGCUGGUCUGAGAGGACGAUCAGCCACACUGGGACUGAGACACGGCCCAGACUCCUACGGGAGGCAGCAGUGGGGAAUCUUGCGCAAUGGGCGAAAGCCUGACGCAGCGACGCCGCGUGAGGGAUGAAGGCCUUCGGGUUGUAAACCUCUUUCAGCAGGGACGAAGCGAAAGUGACGGUACCUGCAGAAGAAGCACCGGCUAACUACGUGCCAGCAGCCGC